GCCGGGGUGGUGGAACAGCUAGACACGAGGGACUUAAAAUCCCUUGGGGGAAACCCCGUGCGGGUUGGAUUCCCGCCCCCGGCACCA
rnacentral:tRNA from 2 species